rnacentral:rRNA from 1 species
GACAGAGGUCCCGAGCGUGUUCGGAUUCAUUGGGCGUAAAGGGUGUGUAGGAGGUCGGGUAAGUCAGGUGUGAAAUCUCAGAGCUUAACUCUGAAACUGCGCUUGAUUACUGCUCGGCUAGAGGAUCGGAGGGGGUAACGGAAUUCAUGGUGUAGCAGGUGAAAUGCGUAGAUAUCAUGAGGAACACCGGUGGCGAAGGCGGUU